rnacentral:lncRNA from 1 species
CAUAUAUUGAAAUAUAAUUAUAUAUGUUUUACAAAAAAAUGAAUGAAAAAAGAAAAAAAAUUACAAGAAUCCAAUUUAAUUUUUCAUAGAAAAUAGAGAUAAAUAAUAAGAGAGAGAAAGAAAGAUAAAUGUAAUAUAAUCAAUAGAAAAAAAUAUGUUCAUAGAAGGUUAAAGGAAAGAGAGAUUGAAAAAUAAAAUACCUCAAAAUCUCGUGAUUAAUGUGAAACAAAUUUUAAGAUUUUAUGUGAGUACUUCUGCUUAAAGGUUAAUACUCUAGAGACUUUUAUAAAAGUCCCUAGAAGUCAUUAAAAUUUGAAUACCCCAAGACUUAUAGAGAUUUCUAAAAAAUUUUAAUUGAAUAUACCGUAACAGUUUUUAAAAGUCUAUAAAAGCCUCAAUUGAAUACCUCUAAACUUACAAGGUUUUUUUUUUUUUGUCAUGCUACUUUAAACCAUUUUGUUAAAAUAAUUAGAAUUAAUUUGAGUAGUCCGUGAUCUUUUAUACCAGGCAAAACUAAAGUAAGCGAAAGUAGGCUAUGAAUUAUUGAAUAAAUGAUGUAAAACACUAAUAGGAAAAAACAAGAGGCUACAAAAAUGACACAAAAACAACAAUUGAAGUUCUCAUCCUUAGAACUUUAAACUAAUGUAAUCGGGUGCCUAACACGAACAACUUUAAUCUAACAAGUAACUAGCUAAAAUGUGCCGAGUUGAGUAAUUAACUCUUUAUUUAAUCUCCUAAGACAUUCACAACCUAAUAUAAAAGAAAAUCAUUAAAUCAUUGCUUAUAUUUAGUUAAGAAUACAUUUGUGACGAAAAGUUCAAUACAAUUAAUACCAAAUGUUCAUAUGAAGAACUGAAAAUAGAUAAGAAAAUAGACAAGUAAGUUCAUUUGAACUAACACACGAAUAUCUUUCACGUUUAUGAAUGGAUUUUUCUAAAACUUACAUACAUUUAUUUUUAACAUUAACCAAUUAAUGUGCAAGGCACGUUAACCACACUAGUAGACAUAAAUAAGUGUACAUAUUUUACACUAUUGUAUAUCUUUCUGCAGUCCUAGAAUCUAACUGUCUUUCUGCUGAAAAAUCUCAACUUUCUUGAUGGAAACUACUGGGUUUUCUUCUCCGAGACCAGAUGCUUUUCCGACACGUCUUAGGGUUCUUGUUGUUGAUGAUGAUCCCACCUGGUUGAAGAUUCUUGAGAAGAUGCUCAAGAAGUGUUCGUAUCAAGGUUCUCUUAGAAUAAAUUUAUCAAUUUUUUUUAGUGAUUCUAAUAUUAUUUUUAUUGCAUGGUUUAUCAGUGCAAUUAUCUUCUUUUUUCAUGUGGUCAAUUAUCUUCUUGACAUAUUAGUUCAUAGUUAAUUUUCACUUUUUUGUUCUUUUGAUUUUUGGAGGGAUUUUAUUUUUGUGUUAUACAGAGGUUUUGAGUUGGUUUGUGGGACAUUUUAUCUGAGAUUUUUAUUUUUUUUAUGUUUGGUAUUUUGCAAGAAAAAUAUGCUAAAAUCUUAUUUAUUAUAUUGUCUUGUCCUAUCCAGUACUAUAUACUGAAAAACAGUUCACAUACUAAUUUUUUGUGAGAGCUUGAAGUCUGCAACUAUGACUUGCUUGGUUUUGGAAUUGAAUUUUCAUUUUUUUCCCCUUUUUUUUAUGUGUUUUCGCUCAAAAGUUAUAUAUCUUGGUUAUAGUAUGAUGGUUCCUGGUGAAGUUCAGUGAUGAGAUAUAAAGUUUUGAGUUUAAUCCUUGUGCAAUUGUGUAAUGAUACCAAAUGUAUGCCUUAUUGAUUUGUUGAUUUAAUUUGAAAAAGAAAGUUUCCAUAUCUCUUUCCAAUUUUGUCUCGAUUAGUUCACAAUAUUGAAUAACAGAUUUUUCCAUUCGGUUUCCUUUUUCCUUUAGUUUCACAAUUUUGUUCCCUUUUUUGUCAACCCUAAGCUCACCCGCUCCCUCAACUUCUAAUGUACAGAAUCUCGAACUGGAAUUCUGUACAACCCAGCAGUGACCACCCAGAAGUCAAAGCACCGCCGACGAGGACCACCGAUUUUUUGACACGGUUUGCCUUUUCCUUUAGUUUCGAAUUUUUUUUUUUAGUUUUCUAUAUUUUUUCGUUCAGUCAAUCACAAAUUAAAGAGGACAAUGUUGCAAGUUGAUAUUCAUGUUCCGAACUAAGAGGAAAUAUUUGUUGUUGCUUUUGACAGUGAAAAGAUACUCAAUAUCUAGUGCCACUAUUCUUUUCAAGUUUCACUGCGCGUAAUGAAUAUCCAAGGUUUACGCUUUUGUCUUCUCUCUGUCCAAUUCUAAAUUCUGUUUUUGGCGAGAAAUAAAAAAACUUAACCGAAUUAUGGGGAAGAUAACGAGGUUGAUUACUGGUGGGGUGCAGUACAAUGAAGUGGGUGUUGGUUUAUGUGAAUUUUUUUUUUGUUAUGAGACAUUGGAUGCACAAUCUUCUCUCCUGUCCAAUUCCAAAAUUCAAUUGUUGUGUUAUGAGACAUUGGAUUGGUUUCCUAAUUAAUUAAUGGUAUAUUUUAUCACGUGAUUGUGAAUUUCUGAGACGAGCAAGAUUGAACUUGGGAAAAAAGAUGAUGCAGUUUCUACACUUGUGUCUUUUGACUUUUCUCCUAUCCAAUUCCAAAUUCAUUUUUGGCGUUACGAGACAUUGUAUGCAUAAUGUUAACCUCUGUCGAAAGUCCUAUUCCGAAUAGAGGUAUUGUGUGAAGAUACAUAAGCUGUCUUUUCUUAUUAAUUAAUGAUUGUUGUUAUCAUCUUAUCGUACAUUUGUGAGGCUUGUACGACUGAACUUAGGCAAAAAAAUAUGAUGCUGAUUCUUAGGAAGUGUUGAGGAUCUUGGGAGCAGUGUAUUAGUGUAUAACAAAAAGAUGUAUUAUCACAUCAUAGUUGAAUAUUCAAAAUCCAGUUCAGCGAAGCAUGUUUUGAUUAUUGGUACUUAGAGUGAGUGCUUGAAGAUCAGCUGUGUUGGAUAAAGAGAGGGAGAGUGUAUUUUUAAUGAAUUUGGGUAGCAUGGUUUUUGUUUAAUGGUUCAAUCCACUCUAUUAUGUUAUAUUGACUUGAGUUUCGCUUCACCCGCUUGAAUAAUCCUAUACUCGUAUGUUAUGUGGUGUACUAGGGAAUAUAACAAUUUAACACAUAUGCUAUGCAGAUUUGUAAAUCAUAGGACGUGCUUAUCAUUUUUGUCAGAAUUGUAAUCGUAUCUGCUCCUAAUAAAGAUAAAAAUUUACACAAUCUUAAUUCGAAUGUUUUGAUGCUAUGAAGUUGUCAUUAUUGGUGAUAUUGCUCAAUAUUAAGAGAAUUUUGUAGUUGAAUGGAACUUUCAUUUAUUUAAUACUCCUCACUUAUCUUUCUAGCUUCAUCACUUUCGAAUGUUAUAUGUCAGACUUUUCAUUGUUUAAGGCUUACAUUUUAUCUUGUUUUCAUACAACGCAGACAUUGAAAUCAUGUCCAAUACCAUGUUGGAACCAAUCGAUGUCCCUGUCAAAGAAAGAGCGACGUUGACAAUGUUCCACUUUGGUUGACUGUGGAGAAUGCAUGGAGGUACAUUUUAUUUUAUAUUAUUGUAUAUUUAUUUUUUGGGAAAUGUUGGUUAUGUUCAAGUGGCAUUCACUGUCAAAGAAACUGUGUGGAUUUAAUACAGACAAUGUUGGUACGGAAAUUAUUUUUUGCCCACUUUGUAAGUUUCUUGCUUUUUGAACUCAUUCGACUUAGAGGUUAAAACCAG